ACGGGGCCCGCACAAGCGGUGGAGCAUGUGGUUAAUUCGAUGCAACGCGAAGAACCUUACCUAGACUUGACAUCCCGGGAAUUCUUAGGAAACUAAGAAGUGCCUUUCGGGGAGCCCGGUGACAGGUGCUGCAUGGCUGUCGUCAGCUCGUGUCGUGAGAUGUUGGGUUAAGUCCCGCAACGAGCGCAACCCUCAUUGUUAGUUACUACCAUUCAGUUGAGGACUCUAAUGAGACUGCAACGACAAGUUGGAGGAAGGUGGGGAUGACGUCAAAUCAUCAUGCCCUUUAUGACCUGGGCUACAAACGUACUACAAUGGCCAAUACAAAGAGAUGCGAAGCGGUGACGUGAAGCGAACCUCAGAAAGUUGGUCUCAGUUCAGAUUGAAGUCUGCAACUCGACUUCAUGAAGGCGGAAUCGCUAGUAAUCGCGGGUCAGCAGACCGCGGUGAAUACGUUCCCGGGUUUU
rnacentral:rRNA from 1 species